AAAAUGAAUGCUAUCGCUUUAAGCCACUAAGUUUUGCCAUGUUUAGUCACUCACUGAUAGAUAACCAGGUCAGGCACUGAACCCAUAAAUAAAAGACGCAGCUUCUUCCUUCAAAGAGGAGUACAGCCGAGUACACGGGGGCAGAGUGAUCUACCAAGAAGAGGUGUGGACUUUGGAGUCCGAUAGUCCAGAGUCUCAAUCCUGUUUACUGCCCAACACCUCCCUGAGCUCUGCUUCUUCUCCUGGAAAAUCAAGGACGAUUCUUUGCCACUGAGCCACCUGGAAAGCCCAAAGCCAAACCACAUAAUGAGUCCUGUGAGCAGGCCGCUACCUCUGAGCAUUAGACCUGUACUUCAAUCAACGCAGCAGGCGUGGGAAAAGACUCCUCUGACUGGGAAUGCUGAGGGCAUGUUCUGUACGCUAACUGGAAUGAGGCUGAGAAAGCAAGGAUACGGUAAUCUAGAAUUUGAGAUUGGGAAGUGGGCUCUGACCUCUCACCAAGAAUCAGAUGGCAGGAAUUCCCUAGACACAGAAAGACACUCAGAGAGUUGGCAUCCGAUGAAGCCCACUGCAGAACUGUUACAGGAGCUUCGGCAAACUCAGCCACCCACAUGGAUGGUGCUCCCUGGGGAGAAGGGGACUAAGUGAACAAAACUCAAAGGGGGUGCCCGACACACUCUGUAACACUUGGGGAUUCAAGCAAACGUGAAAGUUCUCCAUUUCAGCUGGCACAGGCUGCUGCCCGGUGGGUCUCCCAGGGGCCCUACUGGAAGUUCUCCACUGGCGUCUGUGUAAGAGCGUGACUCCAUUGACACUGAGCAUCUCACCCCUGUUCGUGGAAAGGCUACUGUGGAGCUGUCAACACAAGCGUGAUUCUGCCGGUGGCAAAAGCAGGGACAGCAGCUCACCCAGCCACAAAGGGAGCAAUGACCAAAACAGAGUCCCUGAAGCACAGAAGACGCCUCUCGGGGAGUUUAAGGAACACGUGAGUCAGCCUUCCUAGAAUGCUCUUCCUACAUCCUCAGGUUUGCAAAGCUGUUUUCUUCUAGACAUCCAAAUCUAGCAAUCAAGACGCAUUCAGAGAGGUCUGCUUCGAUGCCCCAGUGGAUAACUGCUUCACCUUCCCCAGCCCCAGAGACUCCAAUCAUGUGACUCUUACUUUAUUGUCUUCAAAGAAUAUAAACCUAGAUAAAUUCUUAACACUUA